AUUCUCCUUGACCCACCACAAGUGCACAUUGAGGAUGCAGCCGGGACCCAAGUCGACCCAGGAGAAGGCCCAAGCCAACAGCCACACGAUGAUGAUGAUGAUGAUGAUGACUAUGACGAUGAUGAAACCCUCACCGGUCGAGACAGUGAGCUCCAAGAUGAACCUAGGCCUUCCCCAGCUGGCAAGAGGACUACAUCUGCUGGACGAAGUGAAGUGAG